GUGGGGAAUUGUUCGCAAUGGGCGCAAGCCUGACGACGCAACGCCGCGUGGAGGAUGAAGGUCUUCGGAUUGUAAACUCCUGUUGCCCGGGACGAAAAGCUCCGACCUAAUACGUUGGAGUCUGACGGUACCGGGUGAGGAAGCCCCGGCUAACUCUGUGCCAGCAGCCGCGGUAAUACAGAGGGGGCAAGCGUUGUUCGGAAUCACUGGGCGUAAAGGGCGCGUAGGCGGCCUGGUAAGCGUGCGGUGAAAGCUUGGGGCUCAACCCCGAGUCGGCCGUGCGAACUGUCAGGCUCGAGCACUGUAGAGGCAGGCGGAAUUCCGGGUGUAGCGGUGGAAUGCGUAGAGAUCCGGAAGAACACCGGUGGCGAAGGCGGCCUGCUGGGCAGUGGCUGACGCUGAGGCGCGACAGCGUGGGGAGCAAACAGGAUUAGAUACCCUGGUAGUCCACGCCGUAAACGAUGAGUGCUAGAUGCUGUGGGUAUUGACCCCCGCGGUGUCGCAGCCAACGCGUUAAGCACUCCGCCUGGGGAGUACGGCCGCAAGGCUAAAACUCAAAGGAAUUG
rnacentral:rRNA from 1 species